ensembl:scaRNA
UAUCUGUAGUGUUGGAUUCACAUUGGGUUGGUGGUAGCCUCCAGCACACCAGAUUUGUGGGAAAAUCAUGCUCUAGAGGAAGCUGAGGCACGCCUGCUUGAGAGCCAGUGGUUCCAUGUGCAGUUUUCCUCUGAUGGGUCCUGAGUACUGUUGCCAUGGAGAUAACAGCUGUGCCGUGUCAUUAUCGAUCCACCAAUAGUCAGAGAAGCUUUGCAGUCAGGAUAUUGUUUAGCAGGCAGAGUGGUUUCUGAUGGACACUAAUGACUGCUACAAAA